rnacentral:lncRNA from 1 species
GCUCCUUAAACACACUUUAGAGAAAUAAGAACAGUUUAAAAAAACAUUGAAUUAUCUAAUGACUUAAUGUUAAUUAACUAGAUAGAAUUAUGCUUUUAUUGCAGUCAGAGAUCUGACUCCAGUAGGUGUGAACAUGAGAAAGCUGUUUUAAACUGCCCAGUUUGGGUAGCAGUAAUGGUACUGUUGUGACAACACAAGAUGCAGCUUACUUGAAAUAUGCAUCCAGGACCACAGAUGAAGUCAGUGGUGGCUGGUUUGCAUUGCUUCUGUCUUGCUGCAGCUCCAGCUAGCUGAGAAAACAUCUCUCAGUGCAUCUGUGAGCUGCAACUGACCUGUGGAUCUGCCUACAGCUGCCCCAUACUUUCACAGCCAUAUUCAACGGGAUAGUUUCUCUGUAGGAUUUGUUAUACAGAAUGGCCUACAACACAGGGGCAGAUUUUCAGAACUAACAUGUGAAUGUGUGUGAUUUCUUUGCAUGCUGCCUCUUUUCUGUUCAUCUUUUUCUCAAAUUAAAAAAAAAAAAAAAAAAAGUGAAACCCUACAAAGCUGCUGUAAUUCAUUCAUAUUAUUUGGUCUUUGUCAUUUUAUUCUGCUACUAACUCCACACAUUUUUCCUAUCUAUUGAGUCCUAACAAAUGAUGCUGGAGUGAUGGUAUCUAGUUUUCUUCAAGAAAGAAGAAUUCAUUAAUCUGUGCCAUUUGCAGAGAGCAGCUGUGACCCCUGUGUGUAAUCUGCUUUGAAUACUUCUGGUGGGUGCAGACUGAUGACAAGGACAGGUGCUUUGGGGCAAGCAGGUGGGGCUUACAAGGAAUUUAACAGGAUAUCAAAGUCUGUUGCCAUUGGCUGUCUCUUCAUUUUAGUUAGGUAGUAAAUCUAUUAAUGGGAAAAAAGGUACAUUUUCUUUUUUUUUUUUUUUUGCCCAUCUUGCAGGAGCUAUGGGCAACACAGUGAGUGUCCCAGAGGAAGUUAAAGAAGACAGUGCAUACCCAGUGAUAAGAAGUUAUCAGGCUCUACCUGAAUCUUCUACCAGUGUCAAAAAUGGAUCUGCUGUAUUUGUUCAGACUCAUCCUCCUGCAAUGAAUGGUGGAGGUAUGUAGUGAGUAGCAUUUAUGUCUCUGCCACCAGAGAGAGAAGUUUAUGCUGGAACAACAAUAAAUCAUGAUAUACAGUCUCA